rnacentral:rRNA from 1 species
CCUACGGGAGGCAGCAGUGAGGAAUAUUGGGCAAUGGACGAGAGUCUGAACCAGCCAAGUAGCGUGAAGGAUGACUGCCCUAUGGGUUGUAAACUUCUUUUAUAUGGGAAUAAAACGUUCCACGUGUGGGAUUUUGUAUGUACCAUAUGAAUAAGGAUCGGCUAACUCCGUGCCAGCAGCCGCGGUAAUACGGAGGAUCCGAGCGUUAUCCGGAUUUAUUGGGUUUAAAGGGAGCGUAGGUGGAUUGUUAAGUCAGUUGUGAAAGUUUGCGGCUCAACCGUAGAAUUGCAGUUGAAACUGGCAGUCUUGAGUACAGUAGAGGUAGGCGGAAUUCGUGGUGUAGCGGUGAAAUGCUUAGAUAUCACGAAGAACUCCGAUUGCGAAGGCAGUUCACUGGACUGCAACUGACACUGAGGCUCGAAAGUGUGGGUAUCAAACAGGAUUAGAUACCCCAGUAGUC